rnacentral:rRNA from 1 species
AUACGGAGGGGACUAGCGUUGUUCGGAAUUACUGGGCGUAAAGCGUACGUAGGCGGAUCAGAAAGUAUGGGGUGAAAUCCCAGGGCUCAACCCUGGAACUGCCUCAUAAACUCCUGGUCUUGAGUUCGAGAGAGGUGAGUGGAAUUCCGAGUGUAGAGGUGAAAUUCGUAGAUAUUCGGAGGAACACCAGUGGCGAAGGCGGCUCACUGGCUCGAUACUGACGCUGAGGUACGAAAGUGUGGGGAGCAAACAGGAUUAGAUACCCGAGUAGUCC